rnacentral:lncRNA from 1 species
AUUUACAAGUAAAUGAUGAUAGGAAAAGAAUUGAAUUGCAUUACUCUAGAAAAGAAAAUAAGAAUCGUGGCCAAGAAUCAACUAAUUCACCUCAAACCAUCUUUCUCAUUAGAUUCCCAAGCUGAUCACCUGGGUAUUUAAGAGAGGAAACCAUGUUCCUUAUCGCUUUGUCAAUAAGUUUAAUCGUCUUAUCAACUGGCUGAACUCCUUUUUGAUGUCUUCUAGCAUUACGCUCU